UGCUAAAGCGGCUAACUGCAUCAAGUGCUAAACCUUAAAAGUGUUACAAUUAGCAAUCUGGGUCAACUAUACAUACUUUACAAUCAUUUAAUUGAAAUUGAAAUGUGUACCAGUUCUAUCCCAAUGUUAAAUUGCACAUAAUUCAUUGUCCUUUAGCAGCUGCUGCUUUAAAUAGUCAUCAGUCAGUGCAACAAUAUACUCAUACUCAAUCUGUCGUCAGAGAAUUGCAAUAUAAACGUUAUUAAGCUGAUCAAAUCAUACUGAAAAGAAUAUAAAAAUAUAGUUAUAUUAUGAACCUCUGGAAUAUUUUGUUCUGUGUUUCGAGGAUCUUAUACAUAUUUGCUUUGCCGCUUUCUAAUAUGGACACGCUUCUUGCAGGAAUGCAACAAGUUCCUCAAUGGCACUGCAUGCGAUAUAGAAAGUUUGAGUUACUCCGAAGAUGUAGAAGUUACAAAGACAAUGUGCGGUUUAAAAAUAGCAUCAAAUGAAAUUCGUUAACGUGCGUAACAGAGUUAAUGGAUCAGUCAAGUCCAGAAUUUAAACUAGUCUUAUUACGUAGGUCUUUCACGACUUGUAUAAGUUUAAUAAAAAUAUAUACAUUUGUAAGUAAUUGAACAGGUACCACGUAAUUAAAAAUAUUUUUGACAAUAUUGCUUUAAGAAACAAUUACUUGAUUAGCAUAUAUUCUAAAAUAAAAGUGUUACUGCCUUUUCGCUGUACAAAUAAUGUGGGUAUAUCUAUCACUGAUUUUAAUUCAAUACCUUUCCAGUUCGUACAACAGGUCACUGGCCUGGUCACUUAAUUUAACAAAUAAACAGUUUCUUUUAUUUUAAAAAUAAGAUCUCCUAGCUUUAGUUGUUACAAUGGCAAUUAUGAACAGAAUAAUUUUUUUAUGAUCAAUAUUAUAUACAGCGUCGUGGAACAAGAAGAAAACAAGUAACUUAACAAAUAAACUCGCUCAAACAGGGGAUAGAUAUUUUGACCGGGAUGUCGACCGGUUGUUCCCUUUUCCCUUGAUCUAAAUAGGCCCGUUAAGUCCCCCAUUACCUAAGCAGUGCCCUAACAUAAACUUUCCCGAGAUGACCAUACGCACGACAACGAAAGGAGAUAAUCUCUAAGUGGUGAUUUUGGUUUUAUUCGAGGGGCAUUGAAUAAGAAAAAUGUCUUCCUUAUGUAAAAUAAUAAAAUGAAAGGAAGUGGUUUGUCGU